GACGUUAGCGACAGAAGAAGCACCGGCUAACUCCGUGCCAGCAGCCGCGGUAAUACGGAGGGUGCGAGCGUUAAUCGGAAUUACUGGGCGUAAAAGCGCAUGCAGGUGGUUUGUUAAGUCAGAUGUGAAAAGCCCGGGCUCAAACCUCGGAAAUAGCAUUUGAAAAACUGGCAGACUAGAGUACUGUAGGAGGGGGUAGAAUUUCAGGUGUAGCGGUGAAAAUGCGUAGAGAUCUGAAGGAAUACCGGUGGCGAAGGCGGCCCCUGGACAGAUACUGACACUCAGAUGCGAAAGCGUGGGGAGCAAACAGGAUUAGACUACCCUGGUAG
rnacentral:rRNA from 1 species